rnacentral:rRNA from 1 species
UACGUAGGGCGCAAGCGUUAUCCGGAAUUAUUGGGCGUAAAGAGCUCGUAGGCGGUUUGUCGCGUCUGCCGUGAAAGUCCGGGGCUCAACUCCGGAUCUGCGGUGGGUACGGGCAGACUAGAGUGAUGUAGGGGAGACUGGAAUUCCUGGUGUAGCGGUGAAAUACGCAGAUAUCAGGAGGAACACCGAUGGCGAAGGCAGGUCUCUGGGCAUUAACUGACGCUGAGGAGCGAAAGCAUGGGGGAGCGAACAGG